AUACAAUAAAUGUGGUUUUAUUUGUCGACAUACGCAUUGUAGUGUUCUAAUCAAGUUUUAAAUGAAUAUUCAGCAAAAUCAAAAGUGUGUUAUUGUUUCAAGUUUCGACAGGAGCCCACAGCAUUGAUCUGUCAAAAAUCAACAUUUAUCGUUUACCUAUUUUCGGCAGCAUUUAAAUGCUCUGGUUCUCUUAAUAAUGAAACCUGCCGAACUAUUGGCUGACAGCAAAUCUGCCGAAACAUGCUGAACUCUGGACAUUUUGUUUGAUAUGUUGAAAAAUAUGCAACGAAAUGAUGUGAUACUUCGUAUAUGAAUAACAAAUGAGUAUAUCUCUAUUUAAAAAAUAUGUGCUGAGACAA